GGCUGCACCUGCGGCAUAUGGAGGUUCCCAGGCUAGGGGUCUAAUAUGAGCUGUAGCCGCCAACCUACACCACAAUCACAGCAACGGAGGAUCCAAGCCACAUCUGCAAACUACACCACAGCCCACGGCAACACCAGAUCCUUAAUGCACUGACCAAGGCCAGGGAUCGAACCCGCAACCUCAUGGUUCCUAGUGGGAUUCGUUAACCACAGAGCCACGACAGAAACUCCUGGAUCUAAAAUUUGAAUCUAUGCAGAGGCAGGCUUAGUACAAACAGCUGACUCAGCUUCUAUUUCCAUCCACUUCCAGGUGAUUCUCUUUCUUCACCAGCCCUCACACUUACAAUCCCCUGGGCUCACGCACUGCAUUACUCAAGGAUUAUUGAGCCCACUUCACCACCCCUACACUCAAGCUUUUGCAUAUGACACUUCUCUGCUGGACUGUCUUUCUCCACCUUGUAUAUCUGGCCAAGGGUCAACUGUGAAAUCUGUUUCAUUCCUUUAUGUUCUGUCAAGGUUCUACAUGAACAAGAUGAAUGUAAAUAACUAGUUGGCUGUUGGAGAAGCUACUGAUAGGAAAUGUGGUGGGAUCUGAGGUAACAAGGAAAUCAGUGACAUUGUCAUAUGUAUAAAUUCUAAAUGUAGAACCCAAAUACUUAUGGGAUAUCUACAAUAUAUAUUCUUUGACACCAAUAUUCAUAUUCCUAAGGGAAAAUCUCCCUAGUUCUACUUCUGCCCCUUCCACUUAAAACUGGACUUAAUUACCAACUUUUUCAUAGCUGCACUGUGCUUGUUUUUCCAACUACAAGCCUGGUACUUAGGGUCAGAUAUCAACAGUAUCUCUUCAUAUAGUCCAAGGCCACUAUUUUACUUGAUCAAGAACCUAAGCCCAUGGAGUUCCCGUCAUGGCACAGUAGAAAUGAAUCCAACUAGGAACCAUGAGGUUGAGGCCUUGCUCAGUGGGUUAAGCAGGAUCACCCCUAUCCAUAGCCCCACAUAAUAGAUUCCCCUACCAACUAUUAAAAGAAUAUUUUUCUUGGCAUACACAAAAAGUCUUUUUCUAUUUAGCAUCCUCAAAGGACCAGUCUUUGGGAUGUAGUGUCUUGAAGGAUGUAUUUUUCAUACUCAAAAUCUAUAAUUUUAGACUCAUAUUUCUAGCUUGUUACUCUUUGAGACUGUUAUAUAUUUUUAUAAUACAGCUUAGACUACUAUAACAAAGAGACUCAAAAAUAUAUAAGCUUAAGUAAAACAGAAUUGGCUUCUCUCUCAUUUACAGGUCUGCAUAGGCAUUCCAGGGCUCCUAGAGCACAUCAGCAGUGCUGGGAAGCUAGGCUGCCUUUAUUUUGUUGUUCUGCUCUCUUUAAACUUAUCUUCCAUUCUUGGCCCAGAAUGGCUUCUCUAGUCCCACCAUCAUUUCCACAUCCCAGUCAGCAGAAGAGGAGAAAGAGGCAAGGGAGGAAGGCACAUGUGUUCUUCAUAAGAGGAUGACUAGAUGCUAUGCAUAUCACAAGUGCAGAGGCCACAGUUACUUCAGGAGGAAAAUAGACAUAUUUAGCUGUGUGGUUAUUUGCCAGCUGAAAGUUCUAUUACCUUGAGGAAAAAGAAAAAUAGCUAUUAGAAGACAAAUGGCAGAUUCUGCCAUUUCUGAAGUAAAACUGGCAGUUCUAUGACUGCCCCUUGGGAAGAGGCUCCCAAAACAAAAUAUCGCCUCCUCUACUUUCUAACCUAAACUCUUGGUUAAUCCCUUCAGUCAAAAUAUCCUUAAAAUAUAGAGGAGAUGCUAUUUGGAGGGCUGAAGUGAGGAUAGGUUUCUAAAAUGAAGGAAGAAAAUACAGGAAAAAGAAUGGAGGUAAAUUUUCAAGGUCUUUUAAGCACUUGAAUUUAAUCAAUCUUGUAAUUAUUAAAAUUUAGUAAUUUAAAAAAUUUUAAUCACUUGGGUUUUUUUUUAAAUGGAUGAUUUCCUGGUCUCAGAAUAUAUGCCUCCUCUUUGUGUAUCUCUUUGGCUAGAGCAUUUUGAUCUAUUGUGAGUGGCAAGGUGAAAUUAGUUUCUGUUCUUUGUUUCCACCAUUUCUUAAUCAAUGUAUUUCUGUUGUUAAUGGCUAACAUUUUUGAGCACUUCUGCUGAAUUUCUUCUUCCUAAAAGCCCAAUGCUGUAUAUGCUAUUGUUGUCCCCAUCUCACAGAUGAAAAAAAUGAGAUUAUCAAGGAGUACCUACAGCCAGGAUGCCGCCCCUGGUAGCCAAUUGUCUGUAGACACCAAACCUUAAAACCCCAUACAAAUUUUAUCAAGCUAACGAUUUCCUUAUAAAAACAAAACUAGGCUGGGUGAUCAAGCAUUCAGUGCCAACAACCGCUGCAGAAGAAACAAGAGAUUUUUUUAAAUAAAGGGAAAAAACUAAAGCUGUGAUUGUAACAACAAAAAAGUAGGGUUCUGUGUUUAGUGUUUUUAAUUGCACAAUCCCAAUGCUUCUUCCUGAUCAGACCACUUCUUCUACUAGCAGAAACGAAAGUAGAAAAUGAAAAAUAUUCCCACUAAGGAACAUCCCAGAGUUAAAUUAUUUAGAAUAGUUAAAUGAUAGUAUGCAUUUUUUAAUCAUUUUCUAAAGAUGCAUAACAGAUUGAGAGAAAUUUCUGACACAGUUUCAUAUCUGAAAUGUGUGCAUUGACCCCUCCAUUCCAUAACUCCAAAGGAACAGGAGAGUGUGAAUGGGGCUGAGCAUUAAGAACUGGAGAUAGGUCUUGCACUUGUCCUGUCAUUUGUGCAGAAGUUUAUAAAGGUACCCGCAGAACCCAAGGAUUAGGGCUCAACACUGGGCUGAUGCUGCCAUUAACUGUGGGUGUAUUUCUACACUGAUUUACUAGGUGGCGAUAUAAUCUUAAAAAUGAACAUUUACAUUCUGGUACAAAAGUUUCAGUUCUCCAUUUUUUCACUGAUGUGUUUUUGAUUUCUAAUGUUAUUUUAAUCUUGCUUUCAUUUUUGCUAUCUUUCACACUGAAAUAGCAUGUCAUCUGCCCCAUUCUUAUAGCAGAAAAACUAUUAAACCAUACAAGCUGGCUUGAGGAAGUGAAGGUCAAAAUCUCUCUGGAGUAUUACCUCAAUAUUGGAUCGUCAGUCUUUUGCUCUCACUGAUCCCUGAGGGCUGACUAAUAUAAAUAGUUAUUCUUUAUAUAUCUGUAUAUCUUGAAUUCUCUUUUUUGCCAUAAGUUAAAGAAGCAAACUCUUCCUCUCUUGAUAUAUAUGUAUAUGAAAUAUAUAUAUAUCAACACUCCUAAGGGCCAAUAAAAUGCAUAACAGCCUAUCAAAUAUUUUUGUAAGUCCAAAUUCCUCACCCCCUACUUCCUCCAUUUAUUCCAUCUUCAUACAUUGUACCUCCUGCCCCAAAGUGCAUAGUAAUUCUGGUGGAAGUUAUAAAAUUAUGAAUAAGUAAAUAUCAGUGAGAGUGUUUUAUAUGCAACGUUCAUAAAAAUACUAGUUAUUAAAAUUUUCCAAUAUCCAGGACCACAGUAGGGAACACCUCACUUGGGAAUUGAGGAUCUUGAAAAACCUCCUUUUUUUCCUUGCUGCUUUGAGUUAUGCUAUUCCACUGGCCCAAAGGUGAUAACCCAGAAGAUGCCCACAAGUACAUGUAAUUUAUUUCCUAAUAUUGGAGCACCUACUACCUGGUCAGCACUGUUGACACUGAGAGCUACCAUGGACAAUGAGCCAUAGCUUCCAAUCUCAAGAAGCACAGCUGCUGUUAAAGCACAAAUGAAAGUCAUUAGUGAAAAGUGGUUCUGACACAACACAUCUGCAAUCAGAUCUCAGAGAAAGGAGAGCACAGUGGGCAGGAGUAAGUUGAAAGAACAAAGACAGAAGAUUAAAACUUGGAUACAGCCUAGAAGAAGGGGAAGAUUCUGAUAUGUAAGAAGGGAAAUGGGCCAAGAAGGCAAUCUAGACAGAUGGACCUUGCAGUUGGGAUUGGACCAGUGCAUGUUUGACCCAGAAACAAUGGGGAGAGGACAAAUUAUAGAUAAGCAUGGGUGCUAAUUAGAAGUGAGAAGUUAAGUGAGAUGGGUAAAGUGGAGUUUGUAUUGGGGAAGGCAGUGAGAACCAGGUGAAAGAAUAGAUUUGAUUUGACAAUAAACAGCAUUUCUGAAAGUUCCAGAGCAACACUGAAAGAGUAGUUUAGGGAAGAUUAGCCUGGUAAUGAGAGUGGGAGGCAUUAGAAAGGGAAACAAACUCAGGAAACACAGACUAGCACGGUGAUAAUUCAGACACAGGGAGAGGAAGAUUUGGACUAGAAAGAUAGCAGUAAGAAUAUACUCAGGAAAAUACAUAUGAGAGCAAUAUCGAAAGAAAACAAUGACCUAAAUCUAAGACUGACUGAAGUGGAUGGGUGAAAGGGACAAAGGUUAGCCUUGGUAACUGAAAUAACAGUGGCUUCAGUGGAAGAGAUGAGGACAUUUGAGGGGAAAGCAAAUAAAUGUGAUUGGAAGAAUUUUACUUUUGAGGUGAGCACAAGAUUCUCAGUAUAGAUUCCAAGAGGCAAUACGAAAUGUUGCCAAAGAUUAGAGAAAAAUACAUAAUAGCUACACACAUGGAGUUAAUAGGGAAAGAAAACAAGAAUGAAAUAAUUCACCUGGCCAAUUCAGUAUGAUUGAGUUUCUCAUAUAUUAGAUACUGUGAAAGCCUGGGAUGGAAAGACACAGAGAUGAAUCAGGCACAUCACUGGAAAGAUGGAUACCUGUUGUGUCCAUAUCAAAAGGCUGUAGAAGAAUUAAUCAAUUCUGCAGAGGAAAGCUGAGGAGACUUCAAACUAGGCCAUGUUCUUCCAACUUGUUCCAAAGGCAUAAUGGAGGCAUUUCGGAAAUAUAUCCCCACCUUCGUGUCAGAGGAACAAAAUAUGUAACAGCACGAAGGGGUAUAGGAGCACGUUCUACUCAAGGAAAUGCUAAUGCUCAAAAUUCCUGAAGUGCAGG
rnacentral:lncRNA from 1 species